rnacentral:lncRNA from 1 species
CCACUUCAUUCCACAUAUUUUAUUUUUACUAGUCCAGUGUAUUUUAUUUUUACCAGAAGGGUGGGGGUGGGGGGUUGCUAAAAGACAGAACUCAUCCCUUUUUCUGCCUAAAGACUCAGGAGCCAUGAGAAAGAAAAUGUAUGUCUAGAGUCACUACCCUAGAAAUCAACUCACUCAGCAAUCUCAACCCUAGCUGCAAUGUGGAUGGGCAGGAAUACAGCUGUGUUCCCAUCCAGAAGGAUAAGACUCUAUAGCUGGGCAGCCGUGCAAAGUAAACAAGAACAAUUAAAAUAACACUGCAGGUUUGUUGUACUCACUGACUGUCCUUACAACAGUCAGGCUUUCAGUAGAUAAACCAAGUUCACUCUUGCAUAUUAUGAAGUAGUAAAAUACUGCUUUUUAUCUGUGUGUCCAUGCAGAUAAAAGCAUCGCCCAUAAAAUCUUGUAGUUCCUGACUAUAUUUGUGGCUCUUACCAUGUCUCUAUGCUAGAUAUUUUUAUAAACAACCAACAACUACAUGAGGGCUGCUAACAAAAAAUCUAUAAGCACCUUUAUAUAGUCAGCAAUUACAGACUCACCCUCUUCUACAGUCUGUGGCCAUUAGUGUACACUCACCGUGUCCCUGCUGCCUCCACCACUCCACUGAGACUGCUCUUUUCCUAACAUCACUUGGGCUCUCUUCAGUCUUCAACUGUGGUAUGACAGGGUUGAUCAUUCUUUGAUUCUUGACAUUUUUCCCUUGGUUUCUACCACUCUCUUCUGGCUCUCCUACCUUGCUGCUCAUGCCUUCUUAGGCAGUCUUCUUUGAGACUCUUAAAUGAUGGUGUACCUCACAACUCUCUUCUACCUUCUCAUUUUACAAACCCCAGGGUGACCUUGUGAACCUUCAAAUAAAUAAGUGAACUCAUAAAUUUGUUUCUCAGUUAGAACCUUUCUGAAACUCUAGAUUCACAUAUCCAAUUGUAUACUAAAAGGUUUCUCCACUUAAGAGACUCUUUCUACAACCACCUUAAAAUCUUGACCAAAACUGAGGACAUCCCCAUCCAAUCCUCCCAACCUAAUUCCCCUGUAUUCCCAUCUGUCAAUCUAAUUCAAUUACCCAAACCAAAAUUCCCACUUACCUUAACCUCUUUGCCAUGAUCUUUUUCUGGUUGUUUAUAAAUUCCUAUCAAUUCAACUGUGUCAAUUCUUCAAUUUUAUCUUUUCAAUGUGUAUCUGUCUCGUCUUCAUCUCCACAUCACAGCUUUAGUUCAGUGUUUCAACACUUUUCACACAAACGGCUCUUAAUUAUCAUCUAAGUUCCAGAUUCCUCAAUUAUAAACCCUACCUCAUAGGACUGUCGUAAUGAUUACAUAAAAUAAUGCAGGACUAAACACACAGGGUCUGACACAUAGCAAACACUCAAAUGUUAGGUAUUAACUAAUAAUACUAUUCUUAGAGAAAUACCUAAAUUGUAAAAUUUGGGAGGCUAUAUCUUCAGUAUAAACAUGAAAAUAAACUGGUUUCUCAGUAAUAAUAACAUAUAAACCAACCACCCAAUAUACCCUCUUCCACCUCCAGGUCACCUUGAAACCAAGUCAAAAGUAGUCAAAGUAGUAUACUAUUGUUUAUGGAAAUUGGACCUGUAUUAUGGGAUUAACAGUUACUAGAGAGUCUACACUAUAUCCCAAAAUUUCAUUCUGUUUUUUUUUUUUUUUUUUAAAUCAUGGUACCUGUCAGGCAAACAAUGAGACCAGGAUUGACUAGAACAGUCUCAAGCCCAAAGGGAAAUGACAGUAUCAAAAGCUAGGGCCAGGUGCAGUGGCUCACACCUAUAAUCUCAGCACUUUGCGAGGCCGAGGCAGGUGGACCACGUGAGGUCAGGAGUUCAAGACCAGCCUGGCCAAUGUGGUGAAACCC